UACGGAGGAUCCAAGCGUUAUCCGGAAUUACUGGGCGUAAGGAGUUGCGUAGGUGGCAGAGUAAGCGAAGCAUGAAAUCUUAAGGCUCAACCUUAAGUCUAUGCUUUGAACUACUCAGCUUGAGAAUGAGAGAGGUAGAUGGAGUUGCUAGUGUAGGAGUGAAAUCCGUAGAUAUUAGCAGGAACACCGAUGGCGUAGGCAGUCUACUGGCUCAUUUCUGACACUAAGGCACGAAAGCGUGGGGAGCGAACGGG
rnacentral:rRNA from 1 species